rnacentral:rRNA from 1 species
GUUCGGAUGCAUUGGGCGUAAAGGGUGCGUAGGCGGCGCGGUAAGUCGGGUGUGAAAUCUUGGAGCUUAACUCCGAAACUGCAUUCGAUACUGCCGUGCUUGAGGACUGGAGAGGAGACUGGAAUUUACGGUGUAGCGGUGAAAUGCGUAGAUAUCGUAAGGAAGACCAGUGGCGAAGGCGGGUCUCUGGACAGUUCCUGACGCUGAGGCACGAAGGCCAGGGGAGCAAACGGG